rnacentral:rRNA from 1 species
GAUGAACGCUGGCGGCGUGCUUAACACAUGCAAGUCGAACGAAGCAUUUGCGACAGAUUUUUUCGGAAUGAAGUUGCUUAUGACUGAGUGGCGGACGGGUGAGUAACGCGUGGGUAACCUGCCUUGUACUGGGGGAUAGCAGCUGGAAACGGCCGGUAAUACCGCAUAAGCGCACAAUGUUGCAUGACAUGGUGUGAAAAACUCCGGUGGUAUAAGAUGGACCCGCGUCUGAUUAGCUAGUUGGUGAGAUAACAGCCCACCAAGGCGACGAUCAGUAGCCGACCUGGGAGGGUGACCGGCCACAUUGGGACUGAGACACGGCCCAGACUCCUACGGGAGGCAGCAGUGGGGAAUAUUGCACAAUGGAGGAAACUCUGAUGCAGCGACGCCGCGUGAGUGAAGAAGUAAUUCGUUAUGUAAAGCUCUAUCAGCAGGGAAGAUAGUGACGGUACCUGACUAAGAAGCUCCGGCUAAAUACGUG